AUUGAACGCUGGCGGCAGGCCUAACACAUGCAAGUCGAGCGGAUGAAGGGAGCUUGCUCCUGGAUUCAGCGGCGGACGGGUGAGUAAUGCCUAGGAAUCUGCCUGGUAGUGGGGGAUAACGUCCGGAAACGGGCGCUAAUACCGCAUACGUCCUGAGGGAGAAAGUGGGGGAUCUUCGGACCUCACGCUAUCAGAUGAGCCUAGGUCGGAUUAGCUAGUUGGUGGGGUAAAGGCCUACCAAGGCGACGAUCCGUAACUGGUCUGAGAGGAUGAUCAGUCACACUGGAACUGAGACACGGUCCAGACUCCUACGGGAGGCAGCAGUGUGGAAUAUUGGACAAUGGGCGAAAGCCUGAUCCAGCCAUGCCGCGUGUGUGAAGAAGGUCUUCGGAUUGUAAAGCACUUUAAGUUGGGGGGAAGGGCAGUAAGUUAAUACCUUGCUGUUUUGACGUUACCAACAGAAUAAGCACCGGCUAACUUCGUG
rnacentral:rRNA from 1 species